rnacentral:rRNA from 1 species
GACGAACGCUGGCGGCGUGCCUAAUACAUGCAAGUCGAGCGGACCUGAUGGAGUGCUUGCACUCCUGAUGGUUAGCGGCGGACGGGUGAGUAACACGUAGGCAACCUGCCCGUAAGACCGGGAUAACUACCGGAAACGGUAGCUAAUACCGGAUAAUCAAGUCUYUCGCAUGGGAGGCUUGGGAAAGGCGGAGCAAUCUGUCACUUACGGAUGGGCCUGCGGCGCAUUAGCUAGUUGGUGGGGUAACGGCUCACCAAGGCGACGAUGCGUAGCCGACCUGAGAGGGUGAACGGCCACACUGGGACUGAGACACGGCCCAGACUCCUACGGGAGGCAGCAGUAGGGAAUCUUCCGCAAUGGACGAAAGUCUGACGGAGCAACGCCGCGUGAG